rnacentral:rRNA from 1 species
GACGAACGCUGGCGGCGUGCUUAACACAUGCAAGUCGAACGGAAAGGCCUCUUUCGGGGGGUACUCGAGUGGCGAACGGGUGAGUAACACGUGAGUAACCUGCCCUUGACUUUGGGAUAACUUCAGGAAACUGGGGCUAAUACCGGAUAGGAGCUCCUGCUGCAUGGUGGGGGUUGGAAAGUUUCGGCGGUUGGGGAUGGACUCGCGGCUUAUCAGCUUGUUGGUGGGGUAGUGGCUUACCAAGGCUUUGACGGGUAGCCGGACUGAGAGGGUGACCGGCCACAUUGGGACUGAGAUGCGGCCCAGACUCCGACGGGAGGGAGCAGUGGGGAAUAUUGCACAAUGGGUGGAAGCCGGAUGCAGCGACGCCGUGUGCGGGAUGACGGCCUUCGGGUUGUAAACCGCUUUCGCUCAUGACGAAGCUUUGUGUGACGGUAGUGGGUAAAGAAGCACCGGCUAACUACGUG